GCUCCAAGAGUGUAUAUUAAAGUUGUUGCGGUUGAAAAGCUCGUAGUUGGAUUUAUGCUAUGCUGGUACAGUCGACCCCCUGGGUAGGACUUGUAUUGUUGCAUUGCACAUUGUAGAAUUUUUGUACGUUUUUCAGUAAAUGUGCAGCACGCAGGUUGCGCCGUGAACAUGCUAGCAUGGCAUGACGCUGUAUGACUACG
rnacentral:rRNA from 1 species